GUCUCCAUAGUUUAGAGGUUAUAACAUCUGACUGUUAAAAUCACCACGCCUUUCGAGGAAUGGUAACAGUCUAACUAUCAGAAGGUCGGCAGUUCGAUCCUGCCUGGGGACG
rnacentral:tRNA from 1 species